GACGAACGCUGGCGGCGUGCUUAACACAUGCAAGUCGAACGGAAAGGCCCUGCUUUUGUGGGGUGCUCGAGUGCCGAACGGGUGAGUAACACGUGAGUAACCUGCCCUUGACUUUGGGAUAACUUCAGGAAACUGGGGCUAAUACCGGAUAGGAGCUCCUGCUGCAUGGUGGGGGUUGGAAAGUUUCGGCGGUUGGGGAUGGACUCGCGGCUUAUCAGCUUGUUGGUGGGGUAGUUGCUUACCAAGGUUGCGACGGAUAGCCGGCCUGAGAGGGUGACCGGCCACAUUAGGACUGAGAUACGGCCCAGAAGCCUACGGGAGGCAGCAGUGGGGAGUAUUGCACAGUGGGCGGAAGCCUGAUGCAGCAACGCCGCGUGCGGGAUGACGGCCUUCGGGUUGUAAACCGCUUUCGCAUGUGAUGAAGCGUGAGUGACGGUAAUGAGUAAAGAAGCACCGGCUAACUACGUG
rnacentral:rRNA from 1 species